rnacentral:rRNA from 1 species
AACGAACGAUGGCGGCAGGCUUAACACAUGCAAGUCGAGCGCCCCGCAAGGGGAGCGGCAGACGGGUGAGUAACGCGUGGGAAUCUACCCAUCUCUACGGAAUAACGCAUGGAAACGUGUGCUAAUACCGUAUACGUCCUUCGGGAGAAAGAUUUAUCGGAGAUGGAUGAGCCCGCGUUGGAUUAGCUAGUUGGUGGGGUACAGGCCUACCAAGGAGACGAUCCAUAGCUGGUCUGAGAGGAUGAAGAGCCACACUGGUACUGGGACAAGGCCAAGACGCUUACGGGAGGGAGCAGUGGGGAAUAUUGGACAAUGGGCGCAAGCCUGAUCCAGCCAUGCCGCGUGAGUGAUGAAGGCCCUAGGGUUGUAAAGCUCUUUCACCGGUGAAGAUAAUGACGGUAACCGGAGAAGAAGCCCCGGCUAACUUCGUGCCAGCCGCCGCAGUAAAAC